AUUGAACGCUGGCGGCAGGCCUAACACAUGCAAGUCGAGCGAGCGGCGGACGGGUGAGUAAUGUCUGGGAAACUGCCUGAUGGAGGGGGAUGACUACUGGAAACGGUAGCUAAUACCGCAUACCAUCAGAUGUUCCCAGAUGGGCUUAGCUAGUAGGUGGGGUAAAGGCUCACCUAGGCGACGAUCCCUAGCUGGUCUGAGAGGAUGACCAUCAACGCUGGAACUGAGACACGGUCCAGACUCCUACGGGAGGCAGCAGUGGGGAAUAUUGCACAAUGGGCGCAAGCCGGAUGCAGCCAUGCCACGAGUGUGAAGAAGGCAUUCGGGUUGUAAAGCACUUUCAGCGGGGAGGCGUUACCCGCAGGAGAAGCACCGGCUAACUCCGUGCCAGCAGCCGCGGGAAUUA
rnacentral:rRNA from 1 species